AACUUUUAGCAACGGAUCUCUUGGUUCUGGCAUCGAUGAAGAACGCAGCGAAUUGCGAUAAGUAAUGUGAAUUGCAGAUUUCCAGUGAAUCAUCGAAUCUUUGAACGCACCUUGCGCUCCUUGGUAUUCUGAGGAGCAUGCCUGUUUGAGUGUCAUGAAAUUCUCAACUGCUUUAACUUUUAUGGUUGAAGUGAAGUUGGACUUGGAGGAAUAAUUGCUGGCGUGACCUUUUAGGUUGCUUGUUAGCUCCUCUUAAAUGGAUGAACUUUCCAUUUACAAAGUAACAUCAAUGUGAUAAUUAUCUACGUUGGAUGAGUUUGUACAAGGAAAGGUAUAUCUUGGAGUUCAAAUCCUUGAUGAAACAAAUGACAAAUUUGACCUCAAAUCAGGUAGGACUACCCGCUGAACUUAAGCAUAUCAAUAAGCGGAGGCU
rnacentral:misc_RNA from 1 species